CAGGAUCCCCGUCCAUUGCCUUAUCUGGCUGAAAAAGUCUCUAAAAAUUAUGACAUUCAGUUAGAGGUUGAAAUCAAACAUGCUGGCGCAAAGGAUUCAACUGUGGUCACCAAGAGUAAUUUCAAUCACUUAUAUUGGACAUUGACUCAACAGAUAGCACAUCAUACUAUUAAUGGUUGCAACUGAAGACCUGGCGAUCUCCUGGGAACCGGAACCAUUAGUGGACCUGAGCCAGAGUCCUUGGGAUGCUUGUUAGAGUUGUCAUGGAAUGGACAGAAGUCACUAUCAUUGAAAGGGGCAACCCGUAAAUUCCUAGAAGAUGGUGAUAAAGUUAUCAUCACUGGUUUUUGCAAGCUUGCUUGCUGUGUAGAAAAUGGCCUGCCUAUGCUAAUAUUCCUGGUUAUCUCCCAACAGUUUUAUGGUGCAACAACAUUUUUCAUUCAUAGAUUAGACUUCAGUGUCUCCUUGGUUAUGCUUUAUAUGAAGGUAAGAGCUUAAUGGCUCUUUAUUUGGAAAUAUAUUUUAGUACUUGAAAUUUUUGUUAGUACUUUCUUUAAAAUUACUAAAGAGAUGUCAAAUGAAAAUAUGAAAUGAAUAGUGUGGCACUAGAAUAUUGAAGUGCUAGUGUGGUAGUGAACA